GUUUUAUAUUUGUUUCAUAUCCGACCUAGAUUCGUGGUUGAACCUAUAGACCCGAUACAUUGUAUAUAAUUUGUUAGGAUUUAAUGAAAAUGCGUUAAUUAAAAAUCCGAUAGAGCCCGGUAAAAAUCCAAAAACUUACUAUUAACCUGCGAUCUGAUACCAUUGACCUGAUAAAAAUACAAAAUAUCUGAUAGUAUUUAAAAAAAAAAUUGAUUAAAUUACUCAUAUAUUUUUUAAUAUUACAUAAACUAGAUAAUAAUCUGCGCUACGCCUCGGGAGUCUUCAUAUAUUUUGUUUCUAACUGUUAUUUUAGUAUCAUAUUUCGACUGAUAUGAAUUAAUAAUUUAAACAAAAAAUAAUAUAUUUAAUUUAGUAUAAAAAUUUUGACAUAAAUAUUUAAAAUGGAUAAAACUAAAACUUAAACAAAGAGUAAAAAUGUGCUUUCAUAAUAUCAAGAACAUGUUUAUUAUUUUGUAUUUGGUAUCAACUCUCAUAUUUAGUCUAAUUUGGAUAUAAACCUAAACCUUUCAAAAUAAAAGAAUACCACUAUUAACUUGUAUGUAUACUUCUUUUUGAAGUUUUGUAGUUUAAAUAUAUCACUUUGAUUUAUAAAUUUAAUCUCAUAUAUAUUGUGUCAUAUUUCUAUAUUUACAAUAAAAAAGCUCGUGUAUCUCUCACAAAAAUUAUUUUCUUAUCACUUGUCAAUGCCACACUCCCUGUUGCUCUAUUUCCGCAACCUCUUAUCUUCAUUUUUUUGUCAUAGAAACUUUGAUUAUUUACAUUAUAUCAGUUUGUACAUUUCAUUAUAUCUUCCAUAUUUCAUUGUAACUUGUAAUAUGGAAAAUAUGCAAACUGAUAUAAUGUAAAUAAUUAAAGUUUUUAUCUAAAGAAAUCAAUAUCUAAAUAUUUAUUUUUGUAACUUGAUAUAUAUACAACUAUUUUAGAUAGAAUAUACAAACUUGAAAUAAUUUAGAACUGCUGUAAAGUUGUUCCUUAAUUCAUAGCUUCGAUGCAUCCACCUUCUCAAUGCUUCAUCCGCAUUCUCAACGGGGCCACCCAUAUACUCUACAACUAUAUCUGUAGUUUUCUGAGUCAAAUCACUUACACCUAAUCACAAACGAAGUCUGGACAUUCCAAAGACAAAAUAAAUGCUCUGCUCUCUCAAAUUUUUCAGUUCAUGAUCAAUUAAUCAGUUCACCAAAAAUUCAAAAUCAUCACCUUGUAAUCUACAUUUUCUGAAACAGAGAUCUCUUGAAGAUCCCAUACACAGAAAAAACCAUACACAUUGUAUCCUCCCUUGUGAAAUAAAGUUAGAUGUAGUCACGUACACAUCGCAAAAACCAUCUUUCACUUUCUGGUUCAAGUUUGUGUCAGUGACCGGAGCCUUAACCUUAAGGCUAAUCCGCUUAGCAGCAUCAAGCUGAGCUGCAUCUGCAUUCUCUGUCAGAUCAGGAUCAGACAAGCUGAUUUCCAUAGCUAAAUGGGCUUGAUACUUUCUCCUCGGUCAAAUUGAAAUAAACACCAUCCACAGCCGCCGCAAGAUCACGUUCUAGACGUUGCCGAAACCUAACGAAGAGACAGAUAAAGUAAAAAAUGGGCUCGAGGUAGAGCUACUGAAUAGGGGCGGGAUCGAUCAUCGGUCUAGGCGACUCGUCUAACCUGUGAUGGUCUCUGAAUCCGCAGCCAAUGCCACUACUUCCUCCGAUGUGGAGUUUCCAAAGGAUGCUUCAUCUUCGGCAUCGUUCUUCAACGAUGAACUGAUCUCUCUCUCUCUCUCUCUCUCUCUCUCUCUCUCUCUCUCUCUCUCUCUCUCUCUCUCUCUCUAAGUCUCUAGUUUAUUCUCCAAUUCAUCAUGGGCAAAUCAAGGAAGAAGAAAAUGUAGAACACCACACGAUGACAUAGAAAAACAAAAUGUUCUUAUUGGUGCUACAACUUUUUUCAUUUAUUGACAUGUCACCUCCUCAGACUUCUAAAAAGCUGAGGUGUCAAAUGCUGGAGAGAACAUUGUGCUGUUAUUGUGUUGAUUUGUGAUUCCUUAGAAUUUAAUGAAAUUUUAUUAUGUUAUCCAAAUAAAAAAUGAUAAUAUAAGAAACUUAUUGAUAUGACAAUAUUAAUUUAUUUUCGUUAUCAAUAACCUAUUAUAAGUUUGUAUUUUUGUUUUUAGAUUUAAAAAUUGAUUUUAAGAUAGUUUUUAAAAUAUUCUUAAACACUCGUAAUUUUCAUAUCAAUAUUAUGUACAAAAUGACAUUAUAAAUGGAAAAAUAAUAUUCAAAUAUGUAUAUGGUAUAGUGUAAGAUAUAGGAUUUUGGUUGUUAUUGAAAAUCUGUAUAAUAUUCGAAUGAUCUAUUUUGAAUAUUGAUACGUAGAUUUAAGAAAAUAAUAUUUUCAUGUUUAUUAAUUUAUUUAUAGUUCAUAAUAUAUUUAUAGUUAUAUUAAAUUUUAAGUUAGUAUAUUUUUUAAAUAUAUAUAUAUAUAGGCUCAUUAUUUAUAGAUCUAUUUAAGUAUAUCGGUAAUCCAAAAUCAAAAGACUUAAUUGUCAUUAAUGAAUUUUAUUAAUCCUUGUAAAAAUAAUGGUAUUUUUGAGAAAACUGUAAUUUUCAUUAAAAGUAUAAUUUGAGAAUGAUCUUCUUUUAAUGGUAUUAAUUAAUUGAGGAUCUUUUUUAAUUGAGUAUUAAUGUAUACUGUACAAAUAAUAUCUUUUUGUUGACCAAAAGAUUAAGGAAAUACUUUGACUAUUGACCAAUUGUAUCGGCAAUGUAUUUACUUGUCUUGAACCCACUAAUCACGUUCUAUAAAUAUAUUAUACACCCUACGAAUUUGUAAUCAUCUCCAUUCAAACAUACAAAUAGGACGAUAUAAGAUUAUCAAAUAAACUAAAUGGAGAAAAUCUCAGCAUUUUUUGUCAUCAUCUUCCUCGUCUCGUCAUGUAUGGUAGAAGUGACUGUUACAAAGAGCUUCUUGAAACUGUGUCAAACAGACCAGGAUUGUGUGGACUAUAAAUUUCCAAACUGUGAGAGCACAGGGAAACCGCCAAUUUGCCAGAACAAUUAUUGUUGGUGUCCCGAUGAAAGGCUUCAUGCUUCCACCACUCCUUUAUUGACGGCCACCUCCAACUCUUGAUAAUCUUCAUAUAUAUAAAACUUGUUCAUCGUUAUCUUCUAAUAACUAAUGGCGAUAUUUUAAUAAUAUAAUGAUGCCGACUCA